UGGUGGAUUGAUUUGUCUGGUUAAUUCCGAAAACGAACGAGACCUUAACCUGUUAACUAUGUGAUAUUAAAAUUCGAUUUCGGUCUAAAUAUUUGAUACUUUAAACGUAAUACUUCUUAAAGGAACAAUUCAAACUCUAAUUGAAAGGAAGUUUGAGGCAAAAACA
rnacentral:rRNA from 1 species